UACGGAGGGAGCUAGCGUUGUUCGGAAAUACUGGGCGUAAAGCGCACGUAGGCGGCGCAGCAAGUCAGGGGUGAAAUCCCGGGGCUCAACCCCGGAACUGCCCUUGAAACUGCAGUGCUAGAAUUCUGGAGAGGCGAGUGGAAUUCCGAGUAUAGAGGUGAAAUUCGUAGAUAUUCGGAAGAACACCAGUGGCGAAGGCGGCUAUCUGGACGGUUUCUGACGCUAAGACGCGAAAGCGUGGGGAGCAAACAGG
rnacentral:rRNA from 1 species